GAGGAUAUAGCUCAAGUGGUAGAGCGCCUGCUCAGCAUGCACAAGAUCCUGGGUUCAAUCCCCAGUACCUCCU
rnacentral:tRNA from 1 species